UACGUAGGGGGCAAGCGUUGUCCCGAAUCAUUGGGCGUAAAGCGCGUGGAGGCGGCUCGGUAAGUCUGCUGUGAAAGUCCAGGGCUCAACCCUGGGAUGCCGGUGGAUACUGUCGAGCUCGAGUCCGGAAGAGGCGAGUGGAAUUCCAGGUGUAGCGGUGAAAUGCGUAGAUAUCUGGAGGAAUACCGGUGGCGAAGGCGGCAUCCUGGACCGACAUUGACGCUGAACGGCGAAAGCUAGGGGAGCAAACGGG
rnacentral:rRNA from 1 species